GUGCUACAUGACCCUCUUCAGCAUGUGCUGUCAAGUGCUUGGUUAAAUCCGCUAACAUGCGCAAUCCUUACUACUAAUUAUACCCUUAGUAGUCUAUGACUGACAUAGUCAUAUAGUAGGGCUAAGAGAGGUCCCCAUGACCCCUAUGUUUAGGGCCGCCGUUGUGCUGCGAAGGACUCAACAAUAUGAUGCAACGCUGUGAA
rnacentral:rRNA from 1 species